rnacentral:rRNA from 1 species
CAACGUGGGUAAUCUGCCCAGGACACAGGAAUAACCAGUGGAAACGCUGGCUAAUGCCUGAUGAUGUGCCGGCCUUUCGGGGCCUGUACCAAAGGUAGCUUCGGCCUCCGGUCUUGGAUGAGCCCGCGGCCCAUUAGCUUGUUGGCGGGGUAACGGCCCACCAAGGCGACGAUGGGUAGCUGGUCUGAGAGGACGAUCAGCCACACUGGGACUGAGACACGGCCCAG